CUCUGGGAUGCAGGCAGGAAGGUCGAGUGUAUUACACUGGCCCCACCUCCUGAAGCUCUCUCUGCAGCUGCUGGACUGGACACAAAAGAGUGAGGGACAGAGACACCACCUCCGCUGAUUUGUACCAAACUCUGGUUCCAGUGGCUGAGAGGUCACAUGUGACAGAAGUCAGGGUGGGGGACCCACGCAGCUGUGUGCAUUUCCCAGGCUUCUGAGAAGCUGUGAGCUGGCGGAGCGUGCCCUGAGGAGGCUCACCUGUGGCCCAGAAGAAGGGGAACGGGACACUGGCUGCUCCUUAUCUUUGGAGGACAUGGCCUCACAGCCCGGAGCCUGGGAGGUAGUCCCAGCUGACGCCACCGAGAGAUGGCAGACUUGGACAUGUGGCAGGGACAUCAGGAGCCAGCCUGGUUUUCAGCUUCCCAGGUAUCCUGAGCCAAGCAAAGGUUCUGUCUAGGAGGAGCAGG
rnacentral:lncRNA from 1 species